GCCUGAUGCAUGUUGUGGCCAGUUCUUGUACCAAGCAGAUGUACAAUGUUUUGCAACAGCCUUUGCAAGUUGUUUCUCAAUGUUAGGCCAAUUGUAUUAAUUGUCUGUAUACAUUUCUUUCAGUCUUGCACUUGUAUACUGUAUGUGGAUGCUUUCAAUGCCAAUUUCAAUCAAAAUACUUUCAUCAACUUUCUUUGUUGCAGCUUCUUUCAGUUUACCACCAUGUACUGUUUUCACAGAUACCAUUUUGUCCAGCUUUUU